rnacentral:tRNA from 1 species
CUUGGUAACCAAGGGUGCCUUCCCUGUGCGCGAAUCUACAGCUCGCUGCCUCUACUCGGCCAUGCUACC